GACGAACGCUGGCGGCGUGCUUAACACAUGCAAGUCGAACGGAAAGGCCCUGCUUUUGUGGGGUGCUCGAGUGGCGAACGGGUGAGUAACACGUGAGUAACCUGCCCUUGACUUUGGGAUAACUUCAGGAAACUGGGGCUAAUACCGGAUAGGAGCUCCUGCUGCAUGGUGGGGGUUGGAAAGUUUCGGCGGUUGGGGAUGGACUCGCGGCUUAUCAGCUUGUUGGUGGGGAAGUGGCUUACCAAGGCUUUGACGGGUAGCCGGCCUGAGAGGGUGACCGGCCACAUUGGGACUGAGAUACGGCCCAGACUCCUACGGGAGGCAGCAGUGGGGAAUAUUGCACAAUGGGCGGAAGCCUGAUGCAGCAACGCCGCGUGCGGGAUGACGGCCUUCGGGUUGUAAACCGCUUUCGCCUGUGACGAAGCGUGAGUGACGGUAAUGGGUAAGGAAGCACCGGCUAACUACGUG
rnacentral:rRNA from 1 species